AUACGGAGGGUGCAAGCGUUACUCGGAAUCACUGGGCGUAAAGCGCGCGCAGGCGGCCAUUUAAGUUGGAUGUGAAAGCCUACGGCUCAACCGUAGAACUGCAUCCAAAACUAUUUGGCUAGAGUGUGCGAGAGGAAGAUGGAAUUAGUUGUGUAGGGGUAAAAUCCGUAGAGAUAACUAGGAAUACCAAAAGCGAAGGCAAUCUUCUGGAACAUUACUGACGCUGAGGCGCGAAAGCGUGGGGAGCAAACAGAAUUAGAUACCCUAGUAGUCC
rnacentral:rRNA from 1 species